CUUUCCCUAAACGACAGCUCUUUCAACAUGCCUAGCUGACUCUUGAGUUGAAGCCAAGUAAAUAACAAGGUUAAGGUCUUUUAUUCAAAGAUGAAUAUCAACCACCACACUGUACACCGUCAAUAUAUACAAAUUUUAAUUGUCAAAUAUACCUCAAUAAAGCUGAGGCAGGGGGAGAGGGGAAAAAAAAAGAAACCCAAGUAAAAGCUGAAAGGCCAAGUUAAUGUUAAUUUGUUGCCAUAGGCUAUGUCUCCAACUCCAGCCAGUCAUUUCAUAAAUGUCAUGAAUCACACAAGUGACUUCAUUAAGAAGUACUGAAUAAUCUAAUGAAAUCCAUAAUAAGAGUGUAUGCCCUACUAUCAUUUCAUCUUUCUGUACACAGCAAAACGUAUUUACUUGUCUUAUCUCUGUAUGUUGCCUACAGCAUCUCCUACUUUCUCCAAAUAACUCUGCUCAAAGGGUU